UACAGAGGGGGCAAGCGUUGUUCGGAAUUACUGGGCGUAAAGGGCUCGUAGGCGGCCAACUAAGUCGGACGUGCAAUCCCCAGGCUCAACCUGGGAACUGCGUCCGAUACUGGAUGGCUUGAAUCCGGGAGAGGGAUGCGGAAUUCCAGGUGUAGCGGUGAAAUGCGUAGAUAUCUGGAGGAACACCGGUGGCGAAGGCGGCAUCCUGGACCGGUAUUGACGCUGAGGCGCGAAAGCCAGGGGAGCAAAGCGGG
rnacentral:rRNA from 1 species